rnacentral:lncRNA from 1 species
CCUCAGAGGUGUCCUUUGUGGGCCUUGCUGUACAUCCCCUUGGAUUUUUUUCAUUAUCCUUGGCCUAGUGGCACAGAAGGAAAUUAUCCUAUUACAUCCUCUCUUGUGGUCCAUUUUCCCAAAGGAUUUUUCCCUUGGCCUUAAGGGUGAAGCUCUGGGUGAAGCUGUGUUCUCCUAGAGAGGAAUUUCACUGCAGUGUUGUUGUCUUUGGGUCCUGCUGAGCUUCAGGGCUGGUGUUUGGAUUUGGUUUCACGCCCUCCCCAAGAGCUGAGACUCAUUUGGCACUCAGCUGUUUGGAAAGCCACUGCAGACCAGAGCUAUCCAGGCUGGAAAUCAGGAUCUCAGGUUAACUCUCUCCUCUCCCAGCACAGCUCAGAGCAUCCUCAGGCAGCUUCUGUGCUGCAGUGGUGGAAUCUCCUCUUUAAUGGCACCAGGAAGAAGCAGCAGGAAAUGCAGAGUGAAAUUCUUCCACACAAGCUGCUGCCAGACCAUCGCCCACUGUGCCUGGAGAGUCCCUGCAUCCUCAGGCACAGCAGCUCCUUGACUUCAGCUAAUUGCCAUGUUCCCUCGAAGGAGGAGUGAUGCCUCACCCAAGUUUCUCUGCUAUGGAUGUGAGGAGCUGAUCUCGGAAUUAUUCAGUGGUUUCUUACAUCAUUCCUCUGUUCCCAGCCAUGCCACAAGGCUUUCAGAAGGUAAUCUGGGGAGAUUUUAUCAAAUGUAAAAUGUUCCUAGACAUUACUGGAGCCAUGAUGUAA